rnacentral:rRNA from 1 species
CCUACGGGAGGCAGCAGUGGGGAAUAUUGGGCAAUGGGCUUACGCCUGACCCAGCCAAGUCGCGUGAGGGAAGACUGCCCUAUGGGUUGUAAACCUCUUUUUUCAGGGAGCAACGCCGGCUACGUGUAGCCGGACUGCGAGUACCUGAAUAAACAGCAUCGGCUAACUCCGUCCCAGCCGACGCGGUAAUAAGUGGGAGGCGAGCGUUAUCCGGAUUUAUUGGGUUUAAAGGGAGCGUAGGCGGAUUGCCUAGUCAGCGGUAAAAUCGCGGGGCGAAACCUCGCUGCGCCGUUGAAACUGGCGUUCUUGAGUGGGCGAGAAGAAUGCGGAAUGCGUGGUGUAGCGGUGAAAUGCAUAGAUA